UGCAGUCGAGCGAAGAGAUGGGAGCUUGCUCCCUGAUCUUAGCGGCGGACGGGUGAGUAACACGUGGGCAACCUGCCCUGCAGACUGGGAUAACUCCGGGAAACCGGAGCUAAUACCGGGUAAUACAUCGCACCGCAUGGUGCAAUGUUGAAAGUUGGCUUUCGAGCUAACACUGCAGGAUGGGCCCGCGGCGCAUUAGCUAGUUGGUAAGGUAAUGGCUUACCAAGGCGACGAUGCGUAGCCGACCUGAGAGGGUGAUCGGCCACACUGGGACUGAGACACGGCCCAGACUCCUACGGGAGGCAGCAGUAGGGAAUCUUCCGCAAUGGACGAAAGUCUGACGGAGCAACGCCGCGUGAGUGACGAAGGCCUUCGGGUCGUAAAGCUCUGUUGUUAGGGAAGAACAAGUACCGUUCGAAUAGGGCGGUACCUUGACGGUACCUAACCAGAAAGCCACGGCUAACUACGUGCCAGCAGCCGCGGUAAUACGUAGGUGGCAAGCGUUGUCCGGAAUUAUUGGGCGUAAAGCGCGCGCAGGCGGUCUUUUAAGUCUGAUGUGAAAGCCCACGGCUCAACCGUGGAGGGUCAUUGGAAACUGGAGGACUUGAGUGCAGAAGAGGAGAGUGGAAUUCCACGUGUAGCGGUGAAAUGCGUAGAUAUGUGGAGGAACACCAGUGGCGAAGGCGGCUCUCUGGUCUGUAACUGACGCUGAGGCGCGAAAGCGUGGGGGAGCAAACAGGAUUAGAUACCCUGGUAGUCCACGCCGUAAACGAUGAGUGCUAGUNGUGUGGGGGGGGGUUCCACCCCUCAGGUGGCUGAAGUUAACACAUUUAAGCACUCCGCCCUGGGGGAGUACGACCCGCAAGGGUUGAAACUCAAAGGGAAUUUGACGGGGGCCCGCACAAGCAGUGGAGCCAUUGGUGGUUUUAA
rnacentral:rRNA from 1 species